rnacentral:rRNA from 1 species
UACGUAGGGUGCAAGCGUUCAUCGGAAUUACUGGGCGUAAAGCGUGCGCAGGCGGUGAUGUAAGACAGAUGUGAAAUCCCCGGGCUCAACCUGGGAACUGCAUUUGUGACUGCAUCGCUAGAGUACGGCAGAGGGGGAUGGAAUUCCGCGUGUAGCAGUGAAAUGCGUAGAUAUGCGGAGGAACACCGAUGGCGAAGGCAAUCCCCUGGGCCUGUACUGACGCUCAUGCACGAAAGCGUGGGGAGCAAACAGG